UAAUGCCUGAGUCAAAAGGGCUAACCCCACAUGAACUUGCUCAUAAGUGGUAAAAGACCUUAGGACCCGCGCCCAUAUGAGCAAAAAGCGGGAAGACUAUCCCACGAUAUGCGAAUGUUGGUAGAAUCAAAGUUGGGGUGCCCCUGAAAUUAUAUAAAGUACUA
rnacentral:sRNA from 10 species